AACAGACGUCUGAUUGCUAUGCCAUCUUGGAAAUCAACCAAAGACAAGAUGAAAGUAAAAACACAUUCUCUUCCUAAUCCGUUUUUUCCCCCACCUAUAUUUUGUCAGGCCAGUGAACAUGGUGGUAAACUGUACUAUUUGUAUGGACCCUAGGUUACCCUUUCCCUUUGUUAUCAUACUAACUGUAUGUCGUAUAACCUUAAUUAGUGCUCCUGCUCACCUGAUGUACCAUGCCAGGUGUGUAUAAUACUGACGUUAAUGGGAGAGGGAAGAGGUUUUAAGGUGUGGUCUUUACUCCCAAAUUUCACUUAAAUAUAACUUCCAAAUGAAGAGAGACAAUGAUACAUAAAGUAAUCUGGGUGGAUGGUUCUUAAAAUAACCUUUGUGUUAGGGGGCUCUUAAAAGAGCAGUUUCACUCCACGGCAUAUUGCCAUGGAACUUCACCUGCUGGCGAUGAGAAGUAGGUGGUCAGCUUCUCCCUCACCUGGAGUGCCUGUCUGGGGGCGUUGUUGGCACCUGCCCUGGUGACAUCAGGCAGGUGACCAUUUGGUGUGCCCCUCUCCAUCCAGAGCGGCUCCUGGAAUGACCGCCGCAGAUCCUUACAGGCUUUGGCAAUGGCAGCUGGCGUCCAGCGUAGGGCCUCAUGAGGUUGGGUCUUAAAGGGAAGGCCUCGUCGCCGACGAAGACGUGGGGAACAGGUCCCAGGUCUUCAGCUCCAGGGAGUGAUGCUAGGUGGUGGAAUCUCCAGGGUGCCAUCCUGAAGUGCCUGGCCGAAGGCAGAGUCCCGGAGGGUCCCGCCAUCACUUCCCUUGCCAUAAGCACCAACAUUGACAACACAGAAAUAGUAGAUGGCAUCUACAACAGCCAAGAGUACAACUUAAUAUGUUACCUUGUUGUAGAAUUGCGAAGCUGAGCACGGUGGAGCCUGGAUUACUACAUGUUUCCCGUCAAUGGAGCCAAGACAGUUGGGGAAAUUCCACCUCUCCAGGAACUCAGCAGCGAUGGCCCUCCAGUCUUCCUCCUUGGGGACAGGCAUGUAUUCACCAACCAGACAGUCCCAAAUGGCUUGUGCCACAGAGGGGACAAUGCCUGUGGACCGUCCAACUCGGAAUCUGAAUCCAUUGGUCCUGUAGGAGUCCCCUGUCGCCAAGAAUCUAGAAUAUAAUUCCAAAUAAUUAUCAAUAUUGUGUGUAACUUCAAUUCCACCCACAUAUUAUAUCUACUCAGAUAGCUACCUCAUUACUGUUUAUUAUGCUCUACUAAUUAUAUUGUAAUACUCAUCAACCAUCAUUAACAAUGCCUUGAAACAGUACAAUUCAGUCUAUGACUAUAUCAUUAAACUGUAGCCCAGGCCAACUCUACUCUUAGAAAGAAUGGUACUAUCUACUUAAAAGGGUUCCCCGGCUGUCCCCAUAGGAGAUCCCUUUUUGGUUCCAGGUAGUACCCCUUUUGGUUCCAAGUAGAACCCUAUUGGGUUCCAUGUAUAACAUUUUCCCCAAAGGGUUAUACCUGGAACCAAAAAUGGAUAUCCCAUGGGGAAAGCAGAAGCACACUUUUGGAACCUUUUUCUCUAAGAGUGUAUGUGAGUCCAAUAAGAAUGUAAUGAAUGACUGUAACUGUCUUGAACAACAAUGGGUCCUGGAGAAGACUAGCCUACCUUCAUCAGGGCAGAAGGCACCUCAACUUUCUUUUCAUUUGGUAACAUUGCAUAAUUAAAAUGUCACGCCCUGACCAGGUGAACUCUUCUAUUUUGGUCAGGGUGUGGCAUUUCUAUAGUUUAUUUUCUAUGUUUUGGUAUAGCCUUGCUUUGGGGCGUAUUUCUAUGUUGGGUUCUGUAGAUUCCCAAUCAGAGACAGCUGUCGCUAGUUGCCUCUGAUUGGGGAAUCAUAUUUAAGUUCCUCUUCCCCCCACGAUGUUUGUGGGUUGUUGUCUCUUUCGUUG
rnacentral:lncRNA from 1 species